rnacentral:lncRNA from 1 species
AGCCAAAUGCAACUGUUUUUUCAAACCAUGGUCUAAACAUGAUUUUAGUUAUUUUGAUUUGAUUUUACUAGAUAAUAUCAUGUUUGCUAUUUGACUUUUUUAAUUUGGAUGGAAGGAAUGAAUUGAGAGAAAUGACCUUUUGCUUCAAGAAAUGAUUGUCAUGAUAAUGACACAUAUAAGAUGCUAGCAUUUUCUUUAUCAUGGGGCCUGCUUCAAACAUGACCUGUUCUUCUUGAAGAAUUAAAGCCUGUGUAUGCAUGGGUUAAUUUUCCAUGAAGUCAGUGCCCAACAAUUUCAUUUAUCAGGCCUUGCUGAACUAUGUAUCUUUUCCUUCUU